UACUGGCCGGGGAGCCAGCGGUGCCCUGUACCUGCAAUCCGCUUAGCAGGGGUUAUUUCCGAUUAUGCGGGGUGCAUAUGUACGGUCCGGCGUCGCACACUUCCCGUGAUGAAAGACGGGUCCCGCGCAACAGACGGUUGUGAACCAUGUCAGGUGGGGAACCAAGCAGCAUUAAGCGAUUUUGUCUGUGUGCCGUGGGUCAGCCUGUCCCGAGCGGG
rnacentral:SRP_RNA from 1 species